rnacentral:rRNA from 1 species
UACGUAGGGCGCAAGCGUUAUCCGGAAUUAUUGGGCGUAAAGAGCUCGUAGGCGGUUUGUCGCGUCUGCCGUGAAAGUCCGGGGCUCAACUCCGGAUCUGCGGUGGGUACGGGCAGACUAGAGUCAGGUAGGGGAGAACGGAAUUCCUGGUGUAGCGGUGAAAUGCGCAGAUAUCAGGAGGAACACCGGUGGCGAAGGCGGUUCUCUGGGCCUGUACUGACGCUGAGGAACGAAAGCGUGGGGAGCGAACAGG